rnacentral:rRNA from 1 species
GUGCACCAGGCGAGAAACCUCCGCAAUACACGAAAGUGUGACGGGGCCAUCCCGAGUGCCGUCCGCUGAGGACGGCUUUUCCCCAGGGUACACAGCUGGGGGAAUAAGGAGAGGGCAAGCCUGGUGUCAGCCGCCACGGUAAUACCAGCUCUCCGAGUGGUGGGGAUGCUUAUUGGGCCUAAAGCAUCCGUAGCCGGCUGGGCAAGUCCUCCGUUAAAUCCAACGAUUCAAUCGUUGGGCUGCGGGGGAUACUGUCCAGCUUGGGGGCGGGAGAGGCCGACGGUAUUCCCGGGGUAGGGGUGAAAUCCUAUAAUCCCGGGAGGACCACCAGUGGCGAAGGCUGUCGGCUAGAACGCGCCCGACGGUGAGGGAUGAAAGCUGGGGGAGCGAACCGGAUUAGAUACCCGUGUAGU